rnacentral:rRNA from 1 species
CACGUAGGGCGCAAGCGUUGUCCGGAAUUAUUGGGCGUAAAGAGCUCGUAGGCGGUCUGUCGCGUCUGCUGUGAAAACUCAGGGCUUAACCCUGAGCUUGCAGUGGGUACGGGCAGACUAGAGUGCGGUAGGGGAGACUGGAAUUCCUGGUGUAGCGGUGAAAUGCGCAGAUAUCAGGGAGGAACACCGGUGGGCGAAAGGCGGGUCUCUGGGC